rnacentral:rRNA from 1 species
UACGUAGGUGGCAAGCGUUGUUCGGAAUUACUGGGCGUAAAGCGCGUGUAGGCGGCUCUUCAAGUCAGACGUGAAAGCCCCGGGCUUAACUCGGGAACUGCGUUUGAUACUGUCGAGCUAGAGUGUGGAAGGGGCGAUUGGAAUUCCGUGUGUAGCGGUGAAAUGCGUAGAUAUACGGAGGAACACCAGGGGCGAAGGCGGAUCGCUGGGCCAACACUGACGCUGAGACGCGAAAGCUAGGGGGAGCAAACGGG